AAAUGAAUAGACGGGGGCCCGCACAAGCAGUGGAUCAUGUGGUUUAAUUCGACGAUACGCGAAAAACCUUACCAGAACUUGACAUCUAGGGAAGUUCGUAGAAGUAUGAAGGUGCCCGCAAGGGAACCCUAAGACAGGUAGUGCAUGGUUGUCGUCAGCUCGUGUCGUGAGAUGUUAGGUUAAGUCCUGCAACGAGCGCAACCCCCGUAUUGUGUUGCUACAUUAAGUUGAGCACUCUCAAUAGACUGCCCGUGGUAAACGGGAGGAAGGUGGGGACGACGUCAAAUCAUCAUGCUCCUUACGUUCUGGGCUACACACAUGAUACAAUGGCAAGUACAAAGGGAAGCCAAGUCGCAAGACGGAGCAAAUCUCAGAAAACUUGCCCCAGUUCAGAUUGCAGGCUGCAACUCGCCUGCAUGAAGAUGGAAUUGCUAGUAAACGCAGAUCAGCACGCUGCGUUGAAUACGUUCCCGGGCCUUGUACACACCGCCCGU
rnacentral:rRNA from 1 species